AGGUCCAAAGGGCACUGCCUCUUCUUUGAAAUCACUUACCACCUUUUUAAAAAUAGUUUUAUCAACAGCAAAACACCAUUUAUCUUUCUUCAGGAGAGACAUAACGAUUAUUUGUCAGAAUUUGAGGAAAAAGAUUGAGAUGAAUGUCUCUGACAUUGUGGAUACUUGGACCUUAAAAAUCAGUUAAAUUGAAUUGAGACAGGGAGUGUUUAAAAUGCAGACACAAAAGGUAGACAAAGGGGUUAAAUCUGAGCACCUCCAUGGGCUAUGACCAUAACAAAUGAGCAGGUAGCCAAAACAGGGAAGGUUGAAAUUGCACAAUUGUCUAGACAAAAGGAAGAGGGGGGGUGGACGUGCAGAAAGGGGGAGAAGGGAUGGGAAGAAAGGUGAGGAUUAGAGCACUUGGCAAAAGAAGCUACAGCACCAAGCCCCAACCCCCAAGAAGGGCUGUGUCCACCUGGGUUUUCUGGUAAACUAAAUUCCCAAAUGCCAGAAUGGUCAGAGUCCAAGUACAGAUCAGAACUCAGAAAUAACAUUUAAAAACUAAGUUAAAUCAAAGUUUUGUCUCCAGAUACUUCAGAUUUUGGUGGUCUUGAGAACCAAAACCUAAAUAGAUAUUUGGGCCAUUUGAUGAAUCCAUCUGUAGUUUUUAUUUAGAUUGAUGUAUAAAAUAACUCUGUCUAGACAGUUUCUUAAUACUGAUGUUCCUUAACAACAAGAACAGUAAGUACAAAACGUGUGAAGUGUUUGUUUCAAGGGAAGGACAGGGGAAGUAGAAGCACUUCCGUUCUUGAUGUUGCGUGUUUGUUUCUUGCUGCUCAGAUGCCAUGGUUACAAGUACUACAGAAAACAAACCAGUGGCACCAGGUAGGCUCCCCUGCAUUGCUCCAGCAAUACUGAUUCCUCUGCCAGUUUGUGGGAUUCCAAUAGGAAAUCAACGGAGGCUGAACACUGAACAUCUUCUUCAGCUACAGAAGGGACCAGAUGGCCAGAUCUUCCGGUUUGGGCCAGAGGGUUUGAAUCCCCUAUCUAGCACUUGGCAUUUAAGACUCUACUUUGUUGGAUUAAAAGGCCUUUUGAACCCAUGACUUACUCAGCUGGAAGGAGUGCAGUGUAACACAACGUAUGCAGUGUGACCAAUCAGAUCACCAUCAAUCAUCAUCUUGUUUAACUAAAUGGUGCCAAGCUGUGGCUGGUGGGGGAAGCUCAGCAGGGGACAUGCUGUUUGGCCUGGUCAUCCUCUUCAGUGGAGAGAAGGACGAACUGCUCAGGCAAAAGUCUUGGUGUGCUCCAAAAGCUAAAGGUUUGAUUUGUAAAACCUAAGUAUCUGCACCCACAUCCUCGUGGGGAGGAGAAGUAGGGCUGGAGACCUGCUUGUGUGUGUGCUCAUGUGCAGGUUGCUGAUUGUUUGGAGGUGGGUCCAUAAACUGAAUCCUAAGACUGGGCUCCAACAGCUGGAGAUGUCAAGAUUGGAUGGCCCCUUGGGAUGUUAUCUGUGGAGAGCUUACCAAAACGUGGCAAAGCUCUGGAUGCCAGGGAUAAUGUUGGUUAAUCCCAGCACAUAUCUCAGAAAUAAAUCCCCCUUUUCUGUGAUUUGUUUCAAUAGCACUUUGCUUAAUGACAGCACCUUGGAUGGUAAUAGCCAUAAGCUGCCAGUGUUGCAGGCAGGAAUAAAUUGUCUGCCUAGCAGAAAUUUCCCUCUGUAGAUGUCUGCAUGGAAGUUGGCCUCCUCCCCUAGCCCUGCUGCUGAGUUCUGGAGUGAUUUUUUAAAAUUUUCUUCUGUUUUCUGUAUCUGUUUUUUGUCAUCUUUUCUGUUUCAACCUUAUACUGGAAUAGAGGCUGAAAGAUUUACUUAUUUGGAGGUGAAAGACUCUGCAGAGAACUACAUGAUAUUUGCUAGUGGGUGACAAAAGAAGAUGUCACUUGGUUUGGAGAACCUGAAGCCUGAUCUUGCCCCUGGCUGGAGGCUCUGACAAAGCUCUGUUCUGUGUUGCCAGCAGCUCAGGAGAAGAUUUGAACAGAAGUCCUCCCAGCUGACCUGGUGUAGGACGGAGUGCUUCUCCCCUGCAGCAGGCCUGAGAAAGUCCUGCUGCCCUCCUGCCCUGGCUCUCCCUGACCAUCGUGGCCUUUGGAAAGCAGCUGAUGCGGCUGGCCAGGAGGCUGCAGCCAGCCCGGAGCUCCUCUGUGUUUCCUUCUGCAGUACCACAGGUAGCAGGGUCUGCCUGGUUCUCUAGUCCUGUCGUGGUGUAAGUGUGCAGGGAGCACUUAGGGCCCCACCAGUGGCUUCCCUCUGGGAAGGGCAACGGCACUUUGGAUUUUGAAAGGGAACAGGUAAAUGGGUAAGGCUGGCUUCAACUAGGAAGGGUCCUCACCGGUCUGCAAAGCUGCUUACCAGUGGUAACUCUGCUGCCAGCCCCCCAAAUCCACUGCUGAACCAAAGCUAGCACUUUUAUGUUGACUCUCAGCUGUGUUUCUGUCACCAAAGUGUCAGGAUUUGCACUUGCUCUCACCGCAGCGUUGCAGAAGAGCCCUAACCCGGCCGCCUUUCAUCUCAUGGAAAUGAAGCUGAGCCUCGCUGUCUCUACUGUGCCCGCAGCAGCUGCAGCCAGCCCCGGAGCAGCCCUGGAUGUCAAACCUUAGGACUUAAACCUUCAGUGAGCUCAGGCGAGUGGCUGCAGCCCUGUGCUUGCUGUUCUGCAGGAACACAGGGUGGGCUGUGCGUGGCUGUUACCUCUGGUCCUGUGCUCCACCACGAGCUGCCCAGCUCCGCAGGCUGCCUGGCCCUGUGUGUUACAGGCAGGGGCUGUGGCUCUGCCUCCCCUGUGAGGGCACCUGACAGGAGGGCUGUUUUCUAGGUACUGAAAGGGACUGUCAUGGCAUAGCAGGGUCACGUAGCACAAUGUGUACCAUGUUACUGAGGGGGGUAUCAUUACCUGGGCUAGUUGAGCAGAAGCAAAAAGUGAAGUAUCAAACACUAACACCUUGGGGAAGCAGCUUUGCUUAAAAAAAAAAAAAAAAAGUGACAUUGCACUGGAGCUAGAGAGGUGCAGGGUGAGUCCAAGAGGUCAGCUUGAGUGUAGGGUGUUACUUUUAGUGCAAGUGUCCCAGGUUCCUCCUUCAUUUACACUUCAAAAUGCUGACCUCCCUUCCUCCCUAAAGCAGAAAGGUCAUUACAGCAGCUCUCCUGUUAAGCUGGUUUUUGCCCUCACAGUUCAAAGGGAAAUUGGGGAAAAGCAGGGAGGCUUUUGUGCUAAACCAAUCUGAUGGCAAUCUUUGAAUAAGAACCCCCCACCUCAGGUAACUUUAAAUAAAUUACAAAGGAGGCCUACUGGUAUCUUAGUUUCCAUUUUUAUUAUUCCAGAGGGUUAUUAACAAAAGAAAGUUACAGGUCCAGUCCCCUGGUAGUUAGGUUGCUUCCUUUCUUGCUUGUUCUGUGUUUGGGAACUUCCAUGUAUUAAAUAACUUCACAAUUGUUUUUGUUUCUUUCUUUACAAUGGCAGCUCUCAAAGGUAAUUACACAGCAUAAGUAACUCGCUAUCUCCCAGAAGUAGGAACACGAGGUAUGACAAACCUCAUGUACAGGAGGGCUGAGUUCAGCCCCCUUAAAAUUUUUUUUUCUCUUCAGAAAUACUUUAAGUCCACUGCAUGCUCUGCAUUCAAGAACAAAAACACAAGACAAAACUCCACCAGGAGCUUUGUCCAGUGCCUCUGAAGGUGGACUGCAGCUGUAUGACCACCACCCCCUGCAGGGAGAUGAGGUUUGAGCCUGGUGUCCACAUGAACUGCUUGCCCAGGAGCCUGGGGCAUGAGAUAACCCUACAGUACUACACUGCCCACUGCAGUAAGGUAAGUGUCUGCUACUAUUAAACAAAAGAAACAUUUGAAUUCCAAUACUUGAGCUAACAAUGCUUAGUACAUGAAUUAAGUGCUUAGUUACCAGCAUUGUUCCAAGACAUAUACAUAGUGUUGUUAGUAGUUAACAAUAGGGCACUGUGUUCAAGUUUGUGAACUACUUAAAGUGUAUCACACUGCAAAACACAUAAAAUCAGUUGUGAAUUUAGUUUUUUAUUAAAGAUUAAAAUAAAAAACAUUUGACACCCUAAUAUACAUAAAGUCACAAUAAACUCAGAUGUGCUAAAAGCAAAAUGUGCAUAAAGACACUCAUUUCUAAAAGGCACCCUGCCACCAAUAUUUUAGAUGUUUAUCUAACUCCAACAGGUUUCUAGUUCUCUCUUCCUUCACUGAAGGUGAGACUCCAGACUGCUACCACGUACAGAUGCUAAC